rnacentral:rRNA from 1 species
GACGAACGCUGGCGGCGUGCUUAACACAUGCAAGUCGAACGGAAAGGCCCUGCUUUUGUGGGGUGCUCGAGUGGCGAACGGGUGAGUAACACGUGAGUAACCUGCCCUUGACUUUGGGAUAACUUCAGGAAACUGGGGCUAAUACCGGAUAGGAGCUCCUGCUGCAUGGUGGGGGUUGGAAAGUUUCGGCGGUUGGGGAUGGACUCGCGGCUUAUCAGCUUGUUGGUGGGGUAGUGGCUUACCAAGGCUUUGACGGGUAGCCGGCCUGAGAGGGUGACCGGCCACAGUGGGACUGAGAUACGGCCCAGACUCCUACGGGAGGCAUCAGGGGGGAAUAUUGCGCAAUGGGCGGAAGCCUGGUGCAGCAACGCCGCGUGCGGGAUGACGGCCUUCGGGUUGUAAACCGCUUUCGCCUGUGACGAAGCGUGAGUGACGGUAAUGGGUAAAGAAGCACCGGCUAACUACGUG